ACUGACUCUAAAUGCCCCAUUUUCAGUGCAGCCUGGUCCAGCUAGCGCGGGCCUGCCCGGGUGGUGGGGGUCUGGGGUCUGUGGCAGCCUGAGGGUGCUGGGGAGGCAGGCCGGCCAGGGGAGAGCUGACGGCCUGGAGGAGUGGGACAGGCCUGAGCUGCUCACCGAAGGAGUCAAAGAGCCCAUCACGGACAGCCAAGAAAAUUAUGAUGCCAGACUCUCCCGGAUCGACAUUGCCAACACACUGAGGGAGCAAGUCCAGGAUCUGUUCAAUAAGAAAUACGGGGAAGCCUUGGGCAUCAAGUACCCGGUCCAGGUCCCCUACAAGCGCAUCAAGAGUAACCCCGGCUCCGUGAUCAUUGAAGGGCUGCCCCCGGGAAUCCCCUUCCGAAAGCCCUGCACCUUCGGUUCCCAAAUCCUGGAGAGAAUCCUCGCGGUGGCUGACAAGAUCAAGUUCACAGUCACCAGGCCUUUCCAAGGACUCAUCCCAAAGCCUGGUAAGAGGCAUUGACUGGCGGGGGAGUUGCUUG